AGUUUGUUGUCAUGUUUGCCUUUUGCUGCCAGCAGGUUCAAAUCAGCCUUUUUUAAUAUUUUCUCAGUUUAAACAUUUGAUGUUUUUUCUCAGUCGUCUUGAGAUUUUGUUUCAUUUCUGAGAUCAUCACAUUCUUUCAGUGCCAUGAUCCACAGACAGGACAGACUCAAAGACAUCAAACUCAUGUUUGGAUCUGUGUUCGUUCAUUAUCUGAUGCUCGUCAGCUGCAGAAAUCCUCUCAGGAAAAGAGUUUCAGCUCUUCUUCAGGGUCACAGUGAUGCGUUCAGGAACACCUGUGAAACACAGCAAACUGAGUUCUGCUUCUCUCAGUGGGACGCUCGAGUGUUUGGGUCCCUCUGUGGUUCACUUUGCUGGCCUCUAGUGGGCACGAGGUGAACUCAUCAUGUUGGUGUCAGCUGUAUUUGACAGCAGCCACCAGUCUGCAGUUCUGUAUUUGAACCUUUGAAUCUCCACAAGUGCAGAUAUGAAACACAGCUGGGAAUGAUUCCUUUUGUGUAUGUGGACGUAGUCUGUGGGUGGCAGUAAUGGGGGUGCCCCACCUUUUCCCCUAUGACAGCCUCCCCCACUUAACCCUGAGCUGGACAAAGAGAAAACGACGUCUUGUAUUUGGCAGCUGUUACAUCAGACACUGUGACACAAACACCUGAUGACUGAACAGGUUUCCUGACAAACUCAUUUUUAUUUUGCUCUGAGACAUUUUCACUCACACAGCCAAGGGCGCAGAUUUGGCACGGACGGAAGGGACGUGUCCCCACCAAUAAUUUGAUCUCUCCGAGUAAAGAAAAACAACCCGAUAGAAAGAAAGAAAACGAUCUCCCAGCGGUGCAGAAAGAGUUAAAUUACGUUCUCUACUGGAGUGCUACGUCAUGUGACAAAUAUGGCCAAUGUGAUUGGCUGAGCCUUUCAGGGAGCUCUGUUUAGUUUUAGCAGCGGCAAGCCUGCGCUGUGAGGAGGAGAGGAGGAUGGCAGCAAAGAGGAAGAACCUGGAUAUAAGAAAGUAUUUUUGAAAGAAACCUGAGAAGGGUCUGGCUGCAGCCACUGUGGAGCUCCACACUAACCGGAUACACGUGACCUCCACACUAACCGGAAACACGUGACCUCCACAGUAGCCGUAAACACGCAUGGAUACCGUGGAAGUCUUGCAAAUUGAUCGCAAAGAGAAACACACAGAUCAAUAUCUCAUUGUCGGCACUGGGUCAAGCUGUCAUAGCCCCACAGGUGUGCAAUAAACCCAGAGAAAUCACUGAAACGGUGUUGAACCCAGCACCUUCAAUGUCUGGUGACACUGGACCUCAGGAAAGAGUUGACAACAAGAAAGCCAAUAGAAGGUCUCAACAGAUGCAACUUUUCCUGACCUGUGUGGACCACCGUGCGAACUCUGACAAAGCCUGAGAACAUUUUGGCCAGCCGUUCAUUGUGGUGUUUUGUACCGCACCCUGGCCAACAACAGCUUCUCAACUAUGUUCUGGACAUCAGCAGACCCAAAGAUGAGCUGAUUGUUGAAACGUCUUCUGGAUGCCUCAUGCGGGCAGAUUUUUGGACACUGGGUUUAAACAAACAAAUGGAAUCGACUAUUGGAAAUGGCUGUUUUGAGCUUAUCACUAAAAUUGUCCAGUCAAAGGGGAUAAGCAUUUACAUAGAAAAUCUGUAUGUCACCCGGACUUGGCUUGCACCCUAUGGCUGUGAUCCAUUGCAGUCCUUUCCUACUGAUGCUCAGAGGAUGCACAUCAUAGUUCUCCCUCUCUGGACCCCUGGUCAUUUCCAGUUGUGUGAAUCUUGCAGUGAAGAUCAUUCCCGGGCAGUGGUCAGAAAAAAAGAGCUGUGACUUGAAGGGUUUUCCAAGCCAAGACUAUGGAGUUGACUGUGGGAUCUUCAUGCUGAUGUCUGCUCUGUACGUGGCACUGGAUGCACCAUAUUGACUAUACUGUAUCAGACAUGCCCUACUUGCGUAAAUGGUGGUGCUUGCUGUUGAUGGAGAACUUUGAUCUCAGGAGCUCUGGCAAGCUAUUUGCACACUGGAGAGAGGAAGCCAAAGCUGUGCUUGCAGGACAACAUGUGCCCAUUGUCAGACUGAAAAAGUUCCAGGAAGUCAGUCAGGAGCCAGCAGUUGUUGAAGAUCUGCGUCCUGCUGUGCAGUGGGUUGUCCAAAAUAAGGCACUUUUCCGUGGACACGUAACAAUGCCCAAAUAUCUGUCCUUAAAUCAAGGGGACCAGCAGAGGGUCUUAAGAGACAUGUCAGAGGAAGAAGACACUG
ensembl:lncRNA